GAGUUUACAACUCCCAAACCCCUGUGAACAUACCAAUUGUUGCCUCGGCGGAUCAGCCCGCUCCCGGUAAAACGGGACGGCCCGCCAGAGGACCCCUAAACUCUGUUUCUAUAUGUAACUUCUGAGUAAAACCAUAAAUAAAUCAAAACUUUCAACAACGGAUCUCUUGGUUCUGGCAUCGAUGAAGAACGCAGCAAAAUGCGAUAAGUAAUGUGAAUUGCAGAAUUCAGUGAAUCAUCGAAUCUUUGAACGCACAUUGCGCCCGCCAGUAUUCUGGCGGGCAUGCCUGUUCGAGCGUCAUUUCAACCCUCAAGCCCCCGGGUUUGGUGUUGGGGAUCGGCGAGCCCUUGCGGCAAGCCGGCCCCGAAAUCUAGUGGCGGUCUCGCUGCAGCUUCCAUUGCGUAGUAGUAAAACCCUCGCAACUGGUACGCGGCGCGGCCAAGCCGUUAAACCCCCAACUUCUGAAUGUUGACCUCGGAUCAGGUAGGAAUACCCGCUGAACUUAAGCAUAUCAAUAAGCGGAGGAA
rnacentral:rRNA from 1 species